UACGUAGGGUGCGAGCGUUGUCCGGAAUUACUGGGCGUAAAGAGCUCGUAGGUGGUUUGUCGCGUUGUUCGUGAAAUCUCACGGCUUAACUGUGAGCGUGCGGGCGAUACGGGCAGACUAGAGUACUGCAGGGGAGACUGGAAUUCCUGGUGUAGCGGUGGAAUGCGCAGAUAUCAGGAGGAACACCGGUGGCGAAGGCGGGUCACUGGGCAGUAACUGACGCUGAGGAGCGAAAGCGUGGGGAGCGAACAGG
rnacentral:rRNA from 1 species